rnacentral:rRNA from 1 species
GACGAACGCUGGCGGCGUGCUUAACACAUGCAAGUCGAACGAAGUGGCGAACGGGUGAGUAACGCGUAAUAAACCUGCCCUUCAGAGGGGGACAACAGUUGGAAACGACUGCUAAUACCGCAUACUGAAGGAGGGGAUUGCGUCUGAUUAGCUAGUUGGAGGGGUAACGGCCCCCCAAGGCGAUGAUCAGUAGGCGGUCUGGGAGGAUGAACGGCCACAUUGGGACUGGGACACGGCCCAGACUCCUACGGGAGGCAGCAGUUGGGAAACUUCCGCAAUGGACGAAAGUCUUACGGCGCAACGCCGCGUUAGUGAUAACGGCCUUCGGGUUGUUAAGCUCUGUUAAUCGGGACGCGGUACCGGAAUAGAAAGCCACGGCUAACUACGUGCCAGCAGCCGCGGUAAUUC